GUCCCUGAUAUGUCAGAAAACCUCUGUUCAGCCCAGUCAUCGGGACCAUAUAUCGCUGUGUUCCUACAUGUCUUCAGAAGAUUCCUACAAGCAAACAGACCUGACCAAGACGAGGCGGUGGCCACUGGUUUAAUGAUGGCUAACAAUAUCAUUGAGAGAAGCCGCCUGGAGUUAUGGAAUUUUCUUCCUUAUGGAUACCUCCUAAGAUGACUGACAUCUUUCUCAGAGUUAAUGUUAAAACUGUUAUGUAGUGAC